rnacentral:rRNA from 1 species
CUUGGUCAUUUAGAGGAAGUAAAAGUCGUAACAAGGUUUCCGUAGGUGAACCUGCGGAAGGAUCAUUACAAGUGAGGCUACCGAACGUUGGAAACAGCGGUUAGGAGCUUACACCCACCCGUGUUUACAUACUAUUGUUGCUUUGGCGGGCCGUGGCCUCCACUGCGGGCUCUGCUCGUGUGUGCCCGCCAGAGAACCAAACUCUGAAUGUUAGUGAUGUCUGAGUACUAUCUAAUAGUUAAAACUUUCAACAACGGAUCUCUUGGUUCUGGCAUCGAUGAAGAACGCAGCGAAAUGCGAUAAGUAAUGUGAAUUGCAGAAUUCAGUGAAUCAUCGAAUCUUUGAACGCACAUUGCGCCCUGUGGUAUUCCGCAGGGUAUGCCUGUUCGAGCGUCAUUUAACCACUCACGCCUAGCUGGGUAUUGGGGGCACGCGGUCUCCGCGGCCCUCAAAAUCAGUGGCGGCGCCGGUGGGCUCUAAGCGUAGUACAUACUCCCGCUAUAGAGUUCCCCCCGGUGGCUCGCCAGAACCCCCAAUUUUUUACAGGUUGACCUCGGAUCAGGUAGGGAUACCCGCUGAACUUAAGCAUAUCAAUAAGCGGAGGA